rnacentral:lncRNA from 1 species
UAAUCUUCAGUAAAACAUACAUAAAUUUUGAUCUAAUCUAUGAUCGGCCUCAAACUAUAAUAUUUGGAAAGCUAAUUAAAUUAUGUAUCUUGCAUCCAAAUUUCAGCCCAAUGAUACUGUGAGAAAACCCCAUUUGUUGCUAAAUAUCGGACGCAUCUGCAAAAUUAUGCAUUUUUAAUUUUCUUUUUGCAUCUAAUUCAACCUCUUUUGUUCCAAAUAGACUUAAACAUGUAAAAACUCCAAAAUAACACUAAAAGACACUAAAACACUGAUUUGGC